rnacentral:lncRNA from 1 species
GUGUGUAAGCCACUUUUAUUUUUAGUAUCUAAUUCACAGGUAAACCUAAUCCUGAUACAAGUGGUGACUAUGAUCAGUGGGUAGGAAAACAGAUUAUCCAGUGGAUGGUUUUGGAGAAACCAAUCAUGAAAAAAGGCUGAGAAAAAACCCUGCUAUUUCACCUCUCAAAUCUAAAUAAAUUCUGGAUAAAUCAAAGUUUUAAGCAUUUAAAAAAAGAUAAAAUAUGAGAAAAAACAGAGAAUAUUUCAUUUCUUGGAAUGACAUAGACCUUUAUAAGAUGAGAAAAUUAAAAUCCAUUAGGAAAAAUAAUAAAUUGGAAUAAAUGUAAAAAUUCUGUGGACUUCUGUACAGAAAUAAAUAUAUGUACUACACAAAUAAAAUAAAGAGAUAAACAACAAAUAGAAAAUAUUUGCAAUAUAUAUGACAAAGGACUAAUUUCUUAAAUGUACAAGGAAAGAUGAGCAACCCAACUAGAUAAUAAAUAAAGGAUAUGAACAAGUGAUCUGUAAUAAAAUAUCUGUAACCAUUUGGAAAGUUGUUUAAUUUCAUUUAUAAUGAAAUAAAUGAAAAAAAUUAAAGAUAGCCCAAAGAGAAAAACACUAAAAAUAUAAAAAUAAAAUAAAUGGAGCCUCAGUGUCCUGUGGAAUACCAGAGGACUAUCACAGCUGCAAUAUGGAUCACAGAAGGAGGAUCAGAGUGAACUAAAAAAACAUUUAAAUAAAUAAUGGCCUCUAAUUUGCCACAUUUGAUAAAAACUAUCAGCUUUCAGAUCAAAGAAUCUCAACAAGUCCCAAUCAGGAUUAAACACAAAGAAAACCAUAUGAAAGCAAAUAAUAAAUUGCUGAAUAUAAGCACUGAAAUAAAAAACUUUAAAGCAACUAAAGCAAAAAAAGACAUAAAAGGGAAUAAAGAGAACAUAGAGAGGCACAAAGAUAAGAAUCCAGAGACUGCUUGCCAGAACUAUUUAAUCCACAAGAAUAUGGGAAGAUUCUUUUAAGAGUUCAAAGAAAAAAAAAAGUCUAUCAGUAUAGAAUUCUAAAUCCAGGCAAAAACAUCAAUCUCAAAUAAACAAAGAAUAAAACCUUUUUCAAAUGUAAAGAAAAAAGCCGUUCCUGCACAAAUUCAUUGUCAGAGGAGCUACACUACUUGAAAUGUUAAAAAAUGUCUUUCAGGUAGAAAGAAAAUGAUACCAAAUAGAAAUUUUUAUCUACAAAAAGGAGUGAAAAUGCCAGAAAUAGUACAAAUGCGGGCAAAGGCUGGGAAGCUGACCUCUAUGGCAUAAUCACCCAGGACCCCUUAUUUUCUGGCUUGUUUUUGGAAUCUGCCAAUGAAUAGCACCCGUAGGAGGCUGGAGAAUGGUUUGGACAUUGAUUCCUCUUCUUUUCUCCCUGUCUUACUACCGUUCUGGUAGUUGCUGUGCCCUUAAGGCACAGGUGAUCUUUUCCUACAUUUCCAGUUCUCAGCAACCUAUUUUAGUCAAACUGUUGUUCUUCUUCCUUGCCUGUUCAGGCCCCAUAGUGACAAUGGUUUUCUGCUGUUGACAGUCCUCAGUGUUUCAUCAUACCUUGGCUAGUGGCCUUGACUCUGCUCAUACCUCCAUAAACAGUGUCAUCCAAAAUUUAUUCCAACCCUAACUGUAAGGCCUGGUAUCACGGCAGUGAAUGGCUCUGAAUCUAACUUUUAAUUCCACACUGCUUCUAUAUUGCUGUUAGCAGCAUGAAGUAUUAGUAGUUCAAGGUUUAUGGGAUCUAGAAGUUUGUUUUGGAAUCACCGGCAAGUAAAAAUUAAAUUACAUUUGAAAAUGAGCAAAGUAUCAUGAUUUAAUUUGCCUCUAGAUAUAUCUAUAAACACACACAAAAGAAUAUUCUUACCCCAUAUACUACAACACAGCCAUUUAGCAGUGAAAUAACUCUAAAAAAUUUAGCUUGGGAAUACUUCUCUCAUUGUAUCAUAAGUAAUAUUUUAAGCAGAAAUUCUGAGUUGCUCCAGUUUCCACUAAAUAAAACAUUUGAAAGCUACUAUCCUGAGAGACAUCCAGACUGAACACUCUUCAUAAAGCAGACUAGAAAGUUUACCAUUGUGCCAGGCCACUCACUCUGCAGAGGUUCCAGUGAUGACAAGGCAUUUUGCUCUCAUCCCUUCACUAGGAAAAAGAGAACAUAACCCAGAUGUCACUUGGGACUGCCCUGACCUUUACAAAGUGUGUCAAACUCCCAACCUCAGAACCUGGGAUGUCCAGUGGCUUCCAAGUGACCUCUGCAAAUAUCUGACAAACAUCUAGCAGAUCUUGUGUUUUCAUUCCAGAAUCCAUGGUGGUCAGUUUGAUUUAAUGUCAUGUACAAACAUACACAAAACUUUUCUCCAUUCCUGCUUUAGCAGGAAACUCAAAUGCAUCAACUACAUUAGGAUUUACAGAUUUAAUGAAAAAUUUGAGGAUCACUGUGAGGGCAUCACACUGAAAAACAUCGUGUCACCCUCUCUCUGGCUACAUUCCUUUCCCCUCUUGUCUCUCGUCACUGUCCCUCCACUUCUUCUCCCACUUCCUCACUUCUCCUCUUACUCUGCUCUCUCCUCUCCAUCUGUCCCUUCCAUCAGUACUUACUCACCGCAUGUGACCAUAUCUCUGCCUUUUGUAACAGUACCUGUAAUCCAUAUUGUUACAUCCACUGCCUUUUCCUAAGGAAAUUCUAGAGUAUAUGUUUUCUCUUUGAUGCACGAGUAAUUUAUAUAAAUACAAUUACUGGGAAAAUGCCCAAUUAAUUCCUUAGAGAAACCUGAAGGUCUGUGACAAAGAAUAUGCUUUUAAGAACUUAACCAGAAAAUGAAGCUUAAUAAAAGUACACUUUGAACUGCUCAACAUUUGAAAGGGGCUCGGACAUUUAAAAUAUAAAGUAUUUCUAAAUAUUUUGUGAUGGUCAAAAACUGUGAAUUAAUAAAUCUUGGCAGAACCCUUUAGAAUAAACCAACAUAUACUACGUCUUUAAGGAAGACUAGGGACAGCAAAGAUGGUACAGUCAGAAUUUGCUCUUAUGUAUCAGAUGUCCAGUCAUCCCUGGCAUAGGGUGAGUUCCCAGUAGAGGUCUGAGAUGAAAAUUUGUGUACAAAAAUUUAUUAAGGAAUUUCUCCUAGACAACAAAGAAGGAAGAGAAACCAAGCAAGGCUGUGUUUUUUAAGCAAAAUCUGUGGAGGGGAGCUUCAUUUUAACCCCCCAGCAUUAGAAUGUGAGUUAUGUUCCAUUCUGUGAAAAUGAGUUUCCCCCUGUCAACUCCCAGACACUUCUGGCUUGGGAGCACAGUGGCUCAACUUGAGGGCAGUCCUCCAAGGAAGAGUUGGAGUGGCAGACUCUUGAAAGCAAAGGUGCGCCAAAGCCAGGGGAAGGGCACUGUGGUAAUUUUAAAACAUCUCUACAAAUUCCCCAACACUGUUCCACAAAAGGAAGCCUAAUUCUCUUUCCCUUAAAUGUGGACUUGCCCUAAGGUCUCACUUCUAAUGAAAAGAAUGCAGCAGAGACACUGAGUGAAUUAUAAGGCUAAGAUCAAAAAGAGGUUACACUCUUCUGAUUCUGACUCCCUCUCUUGGGAUGGUCUUGCCCUUAGAACUCAGACUACACAGAGGUGUCUGCCUCACAGCCCCAACUAAGAUCCAAGCCCACAGUCAGCAUCGACCACAGACAUGUGAAUGAGGUCGACUUUUGACCACUCCCUCUUUCAGCCUUCCAGCAGAUGCCCCAAACAUCAUGGGCAGAGGACAUUUGGCCCCUGCCAUGCCUUGUUCUAACUCCUGACCUGAAGAAUCCAUGAGCAUUAUAAACCCUUGUUUUUUGCCAUUGGAUUGUGAAGUGAUUUGUUAUAGAGCCACAGCAUCUGGAAUAGGCAUGGAAAAUGUAAACACUUCUGUGGGAAGUUUCUGAAGGAAUCUGGGUGGAGUACUGGAAUCUGUGACAUUCCUAAUAAUAUUUUACUGUGAAUACCAUUCUGCCUCAGAUGAUUGGACAGACUCAUGGGAUAGUAUGAUUUAGAGGAAAGAACACUGGGCAAGGGGUCUCAGGACCUGGGUUCAAAUUCUAACUUGGCCACACAUAUCUGAAUCUCCUAGACUCAGUUUUCUUACCAGUAAUAUAGAGGUAACUAUACCUGUCUCACAGGUUGCUUCUGAGGACUGAAUAAGGUUAAGAUAUGAAAAAGUAUCUGACACAAACAUACUGUGUGUAGAGUCUCAGUGAGUCUAUUUUCUCCAUAAAAUGUGUACCUACUUCAUAAAGACCAGUUUUAUUUCAGCCAGUUCUUGUUCAGGUGAACAGUUCUCUUGGCUAAUAGAGGAGAGGCUCAGAUUCUUCUUUGAUUUAGGGCUUUUUCUGUGUUCAAAAGUCUUCCUUCCUCAAAGGACACUUGAAUAAACUUUUUUCUUUACUAAAUAGGUGUUCUGUACAGUUAAGUCUUGAAGAGAUUUCUCCUUUUGGGCAGCAUUAUUAUUAAAUAAUGUGGCAUUAUCCAUUAUAGAAACCAUCUUGACGAUUGGAAGUAUUGUCAAAACCAUAUUUGGUAAACCAGGAAUGAAAUACAUCUUUAUUAAGUUAUUCAACAAUUUUGAAGUUUGCAUUUGGAAACAUUCACAGAGUUCUUUUUAAGCUAUUAAUUUCACACCAAGGCAAGGAAGACAUGUCUAGACAAAUGUUCCUUAAAGGAAGUAUCUUAAAAUAAAGCCUUUUCUGAAAAGGUUAUAUACUCUUGUGCCCAAACAUUUUACUUUGAACUAAGAUAUUUGCUUUCUUGAAAGCAAGCUAAUGUUCUGUGAAUUAACCAGACUUCAGAGAGGUCUGAUUUUUACGAUAAAUAUUCAGGGUUGUGAAAAAAUAAAAAUAAAUAAACUAUUUUUGUUAACAAAAAGACUCUUCAUGGAACAUUUUUAUGGAGACCUUUUUUAAUUUAAUGGCAUUUACAGGCCUGAUGACAUAAAAAUAUUGGGAAAGACCAUAUUCUGGUCUUAAGUAGAGUCCAAUAUGAGUAUGUUGAAAAAUCAAAAUAAGAAUCUUUACAAUUUAUGGUGGCAUAUCAUUUGGUUACUGGUAAAAUGAACUGCCAAGACCAAGGAAUUUAGAAAUGUUAUUUGGCUUCCUCACAGUGCUGACUUUCUGAAUGAGCUGGGUUUGGUCAUAUCAGUAUGAUUCAAAUUGUUAACGACAAAGUAAUUAAUUUAACUAAAUUCAAGAUUGCUGCGAAGCUGAUGUACAACUAAUUUUUCUCACUUGAGAGAGACUUUCCAGGUAAAAGCACUGGAGUGACGCUCAGGACUGCAUCCUGCCUGAUUUUUUUGUGUCUUUUCCAGAGCUAUCUCUAGAGGAGAAAGAAGUCACCCCUGAGAAAAGAGCUGUCGCAAAUCACCUCCACACAAAUUCUUAUAUCAUGGCCCAAAAGGUGACCCAUGAAGAUGUCCCACUGCCAUCUCCCCAUAAGUGAGAUGAAUGAUGGCUAUUAGGAAUUCUGAAGUAAUGAAUAGUUUAUGACUUUAUAGCUCUGCCAACUCAUUCAUUCAUUCAUUCAAUGAAUAUUUAUUGAGUGCCUGCUACGUGUCAGGCACAAUUCUAAGCACUGGGAGUACAGUGUGAACAAAGCAGAUAAAGAUCCUUGCCCUUAUGAAGUGCAUACUACAGGAUGGGGAGGCAGGUGAUAAGCAAACAAAAAUAUAUGUAAUAUAUCUGAUGUUAAGGAUUAGAGAAAAAUCUGAGACAGAAAAGUUAGUGUGGAAAGUAGGAAUUACUAUUUUACAUGGGGUGAUCUGGGAAAGCUUCACCUAUAAAGGUAGCAUUUGAGCAGAGACCAGAAGGAGAUAAGGAAACAAGCCAUUCAGAUAUUUGGGGAAGAGCAGUCUAAGUACAGGGAGCAUCAAAUGCAAAACCUCUGAGAGGAGAGUCAGCUUGGCAAAUAAAAUGCCAAGAAGACUAGCAUGGCUAGAGCAGGGGACAAGAGACAGAACAGUAGGAGCAAAGAUCAGAGAGGCAGUGGACUAAACUUGGGAGUUAAGUCAUGCAGUGAGUUCAAGAAUUAAGGGAGUCUUUGAGAAGAAAGAAAACAAGAUGUCAAGAAUAGAAUUUAUGGAAACGUCUUCAUUUAGCAAGUAGAAAAAGAUAAAGAGGUAGUAAAGGAUAUUAAAAGAAGAUGGCGGGGACCCCAGGAGAAAGCAUUGCCACUAAGCCUUGGAAAGAAAAAUUAAUGAAAGAGGGGCUGUUCAACAGUGUAAACUGUUCCAUAUUUUGCAUGAAAACAACAACUGAGUAAAAGCCUUUCAAUUUGGAAAUGAGGUUAUAAGAGAUCUUUGAGAGAACAGUUUCUCCUGAGCAAUGGCAGUGGAUGUCAAGUUGGAAAGUAAGAGUGAGUGGUGAAGAAAAGCAGAUGGCACCUGUACACUGCCUUUGGUGCCACCUCCUCCUCCCUUGCUUUCUUCUUUUGAUAAAUUUAGACACAAAUGGGAAAAGGAAGAUAGGAUGAUACUUUGAAAGUACAGAAAGUAGUUGCAAGAAGAGCUGCUGGCUUUCCAUCUUUGUGACUAUACAUGACAGUAAAUCCCUGCAGAAUUCUAACCCCAAUGCUCAUAAUUUGUUGUACUUAGGGAAUGUACCAAAACCUCAUGUCAAAGAACUUACUGGAAUAAGACGCAAUCUCCCUUUUAGGUGGCUCUUAAGAUAAAAUUAGUUUUUGCUAGAGUUAUUUAUCCUUCUCCCCCUCCCCCACCCCUGUGCUAAUUUGACAGGAAGGUUUAGUUAUUCUAGUUCAUCUUAGCAAACUUGUUAAGACCGUGGAAGUAGUAUUUCAAGCAAGUACUAUUAAAAUAGAUCAAUCAUAACGAAUUUCAGUGAAAAAGAUUAAUCAGAUCUUUUAGGUUUCAUUCUACAAUGGUUAUAAAGAUACUUCCCAGGUCUUUUAAAAAAAUAAUUGCGUUAAAAAAUUGGCAAAUGUGUGCUAAUCUAACUGGCAGGUAUUCUAAUUUUGUGCUUUGUUCAACUUCGAGGGCUGUGAUGACAUUCAGUUAAAUGUUAUAUAUUAACACU